UACGUAGGGUGCAAGCGUUGUCCGGAAUUAUUGGGCGUAAAGAGCUCGUAGGCGGUCUGUCGCGUCGAAAUGUGAAAACCCCGGGGGCUCAACCCCCGGGCCUGCAUUCGAUACGGGCAGACUAGAGUUCGGUAGGGGAGUCUGGAAUUCCUGGUGUAGCGGUGAAAUGCGCAGAUAUCAGGAGGAACACCGGUGGCGAAGGCGGGACUCUGGGCCGAUACUGACGCUGAGGAGCGAAAGCGUGGGGGAGCGAACGGG
rnacentral:rRNA from 1 species